rnacentral:rRNA from 1 species
CGUGUAGGCGGCCAUUCAAGUCAGGCGUGAAACCACAGGGCUUAACCUUGUGACUGCGUUUGAAACUGGGUGGCUUGAGGACAGGAGAGGAAAGCGGAAUUCCCAGUGUAGCGGUGAAAUGCGUAGAUAUUGGGAGGAACACCAGUGGCGAAGGCGGCUUUCUGGACUGUCCCUGACGCUGAGGCGCGAAAGCCAGGGGAGCGAACG